UGGUGGAGUGAUUUGUCUGGUUAAUUCCGAUAACGAACGAGACCCCGUCCUACUUACUAGACCGAGGAUCCUCUCGUUCUCGCUGUCUUCUUAGAGGGACAACUGCUUAUACCCUGAACUACAUGAAAUGGGGCAAUAACA
rnacentral:rRNA from 1 species